rnacentral:lncRNA from 1 species
UAGAUUGACGAGUCUCUAAAUGCAACAUAACUCAAAUGUAGUGUUGUUGAAGUUUUUCUGAAAUGUAAUUAUUUUUCGUUAUUUGUUUUGAUGUAAUUCAUGCAUUCUGAAAAUUAAAUUUAAAUACUUUUAUUCGUUUUUUGGUAUAACUUAAUACUAGUGUAACUAGAGUUACUGGUGUUUGUUUUGAUGUAAGUAAAUAAAUUCUAUUACCUUCUAAAUAUAGUAAUAAAUUUAGCCCCACAAAAUUCAACAUAUUAAAUAAUUAAAAUUUUCAUUAUUAUUUAAAGAUAAUCCUAAUCCAUUGUAAAGGAGAUAAUUCUAUUGGAGAAGGUUGAGCGCGGUGGAACUUGACUUCGACAUUUUAGAAUAAUAGAUAAAGUGGAGAUGUAACAUAACUUGAGUUAUAUUAUUUUUUAGAAAAACUUCAAAUACCACUCCUGUAGUUUCGCACUUUCUCAUUUUCGUACUCUGUGAUUUUAUUUAUCUCUUUUGGUUAUCCCCUCUACUAAUUUUUGUCGUUAAAUCAGUAAUAACGUUAAAACUAAAAGGUAGUAAAGUGAAUAUGCGAUAAACUAUAAAUAGGAUAUUUGAAAUUUUUUAUAUAUGAUUUAACGAAAAAUUUACGGACAAAUUGACGAAAAAAAAAAAUCACAUAAUACUAAAUUAAUAUACUUUAAAUCACAGAAUAUUAAAGUAAAAAAAGUGCGAAAUCGAAUACU